UAAUAAAGGGACGUGGGAGUCAAUGACAUGGCUCUGCAGGUGACUCUCCUCUGGCUACCUGGUUUUACUGCAUAGGUGAGAGAGGGGUCCUGACAUGCCGCAAGAACAGGCCCAAUGCUCUUUUGCACAGGCUUUGAAGGGAAGCCGAGACACCUUUCUAAGAGACCCACACGAGACGUACCUCAAACAAGCCUCAAACCAGCCAACCCCCUCCUCUUGGAAAAGCCUUCCUGAUCUCCUCAGCCUCCUCACAACUGCCAGGUCUAGAACCAGAACCACACAGCGGCCCAAGUGGGAUCCAGCGGCCAUAACUACACACCACUGCCUGGCCAUGUCUGUACUUCUAAAGAAAGCAGCACGCCAGUCCUGGAGCAGCUGCUGCUCCCAGGUCACGGGGUAAGUAGUGUGUGCCCUGGCUUCCGCUGGUCCUGCCAGCCCUCAGUCUGCAGCGUGUCUUGUCCCUUUUUGUGUGCUGGGCUCGUGCCACCUAAGUUUCUUGCUUAGUUCUCUGCUCCAUCUCCUAACGCAGUAACUGGCACCCAGGAGCGGUCCCCCAAAGUAUACGUUAGACAAACGUCUGAAUGGGAAAUAAAGAAGUAGCCCAGCCAACUCGCCCCAGGACCCGAGUCUCCAAUGCUCACCAGCUAUGUUGUGGGAAGCAGAAAUUCCUGUCUGUGUUGGGUGUGGCAGGACACCUGACAGAGAAGCUGGAGAAGUCCACCUGGUACUAGCUCUGGGGUCAUGCCCAUUGACACAAGGCAUCAUAAUCCUGUCCCCUCCUCACUCCAGGGCCAUCAGACCACCCCAAAGAAGGGCUUGGCCAGCCAUACCCCUCCAGGAGCUACUCGCACACCCAGGGAGAUGCUGGCACGGGGUCCAGAUGCACAGUGGGAAGCACAUGCCCACCUCCGCCUGGUGCUUUCCUGGGGCAGAGGCCACAUCUACUCCACUGUCCCCGGAGCCCACUACAGGGCACAAACGUCCUGACGAUGGGAAAUGAGCAGCCCGCAAUAGAGAAAA